AGAAUCAACGCUGGCGGCGUGCCUAACACAUGCAAGUCGAACGAGAAAGUGGGAGCAAUCCCACGAGUAAGGUGGCGCACGGGUGAGUAACACGUGACUAACCUACCCUUGAGUGGGGGAUAACCUAGGGAAACCUGGGCUAAUACCGCAUAAUACCUACGGGUCAAAGGAGCAAUUCGCUUUAGGAGGGGGUCGCGGCAGAUUAGUUAGUUGGCGGGGUAAUGGCCCACCAAGACAGUGAUCUGUAUCCGGCCUGAGAGGGCGCACGGACACACUGGAACUGAAACACGGUCCAGACUCCUACGGGAGGCAGCAGUGGGGAAUUUGCGCAAUGGGGGAAACCCUGACGCAGCAACGCCGCGUGGAGGAUGAAGCCCCUUGGGGCGUAAACUCCUUUCGAUCGGGAAGAUAAUGACGGUACCGGAAGAAGAAGCCCCGGCUAACUUCGUGCCAGCAGCCGC
rnacentral:rRNA from 1 species